UACGGGGGGAGCAAGCGUUGUUCGGAAUCACUGGGCGUAAAGGGCGUGUAGGCGGUUCGGUAAGUGGGAUGUGAAAUCCCCGGGCUCACCCCGGGACCUGCAUCCCAAACUGCUGAGCUUGAGUACAGGAGAGGGUGGGGGAAUUCCAGGUGUAGCGGUGAAAUGCGUAGAUAUCUGGAGGAACACCGGUGGCGAAGGCGCCCACCUGGCCUGCUACUGACGCUGAAACUCGAAAGCUAGGGGAGCAAACGGG
rnacentral:rRNA from 1 species